rnacentral:sRNA from 1 species
GCUGGGCAUGGUGGCGCAUGCCUGUAAUCCCAGCAGCUCAGGAGGCUGAGGCAGGAGGCUCUUGACUUCAAAGCCAGGCUCAGCAAUUUAGGUAGGCCCUAAGCAAGUCAGUGAGACCCUGUCUCUA